rnacentral:rRNA from 1 species
UACGUAGGGUGCAAGCGUUUAUCCGGAAUUAUUGGGCGUAAAGAGCUCGUAGGCGGUUUGUCGCGUCUGCUGUGAAAACCCAGGGCUUAACCCUGGGCCUGCAGUGGGUACGGGCAAACUAGAGUGCGGUAGGGGAGAUCGGAAUUCCUGGUGUAGCGGUGAAAUGCGCAGAUAUCAGGAGGAACACCGGUGGCGAAGGCGGAUCUCUGGGCCGUAACUGACGCUGAGGAGCGAAAGCAUGGGUAGCGAACAGG